CCUACGGGGUGCUGCAGUGAGGAAUAUUGGUCAAUGGCCGUAAGGCUGAACCAGCCAAGCAGCGUGAGGGAAGACUGCCUUAUGGGUUGUAAAUCUUUUCUACGCGGGGAAAGAGGUUUCCAUGUGUGGAUUUUUGCAUGUACCGUAUGAAUAAGGACCGGCUAAUUCCGUGCCAGCAGCCGAGGUAAUACGGAAGGUCCGGGCGUUAUCCGGAUUUAUUGGGUUUAAAGGGAGCGUAGGCCGGUCUUUAAGUGUGCCGUGAAAUUUUGUGGCUCAACCAUGGGAGUGCGGCGCGAACUGGAGACCUUGAGUGCGCGGAAGGCAGGCAGAAUUCGUGGUGUAGCGGUGAAAUGCUUAGAUAUCACGAAGAACCCCGAUGGCGAAGGCAGCCUGCCGCAGCGUGACUGACGCUGAAGCUCGAAAGCGCGGGUAUCGAACAGGAUUAGAUACCCCAGUAGUC
rnacentral:rRNA from 1 species